rnacentral:rRNA from 1 species
GACGAACCGUGCGAACGUUGUUCGGAAUCACUGGGCUUAAAGGGCGCGUAGGCGGACUGCCAAGUCCGGGGGUGAAAUCGUUCGGCUCAACCGGACAAUAGCCUCGGAGACUGGCGGUCUAGAGGGGGGUAGGGGCAGCUGGAACUUCCGGUGGAGCGGUGAAAUGCGUUGAUAUCGGAAGGAGCGCCGGUGGCGAAAGCGAGCUGCUGGACCUUUUCUGACGCUGAGGCGCGAAAGCCAGGGGAGCAAACAGG